rnacentral:ncRNA from 2 species
AAUGGCCAUGCGGAAGAGAUCGCGAUAGCGGCGCCGACGGAGCAAUUCCCCGAGAAUCUCUCAGGCAAAAGGACCGCAUGGCUGGA